ensembl:lncRNA TH2LCRR T helper type 2 locus control region associated RNA
GCGGGCCCGGCCGAGCGGCAGCCCCUGCCCUGGAGGGUGGUCUCCAGGGACCAAGGCGUGGCGGGCGGUGCGGAGAGGCGCGGCACAGAUGGCUACAUCAGAGGAAUUUCUCCACAUAUUCAGAACGUCCUAAAAGCUCCACAAAAUCUUCAUCAUGAGUGAUUACCAGAAGCUGGAAGUUACGCUGCUUUACUUGGGUGAGUUGGCUCCCCAGGCUUUUGAGAUACCUGCCUUUUGUCCAGCACUGCAUCGUCCUCGCAUAUCCAAGGCUGUGUCUCCCUUCAGCAUCACCACUCGGUAGUUAUAAUUCCGCCUUUUAUCAGAAGCUGAUACAUUUUCAUCGGCAUCAGACCGUAUUUCUAUGUAUUCAAUAUCUGACACAGGAAGAAGAAUAUUUUAGAGGAACC